GUGCUCACUUCAGCAGCAUAUAUACUAAAAUUAGACCGAUACAGAGAAGAUUAGCAUGGUCCCUGCGCAAAGAUGACACUUUCAUGAGUGAUUAUUCUACCUACCAU